rnacentral:rRNA from 1 species
GAUGAACGCUGGCGGCGUGCCUAAUACAUGCAAGUCGAGCGAACGGACGAGAAGCUUGCUUUUCUGAUGUUAGCGGCGGACGGGUGAGUAACACGUGGAUAACCUACCUAUAAGACUGGGAUAACUUCGGGAAACCGGAGCUAAUACCGGAUAAUAUUUUGAACCGCAUGGUUCAAAAGUGAAAGACGGUCUUGCUGUCACUUAUAGAUGGAUCCGCGCUGCAUUAGCUAGUUGGUAAGGUAACGGCUUACCAAGGCAACGAUGCAUAGCCGACCUGAGAGGGUGAUCGGCCACACUGGAACUGAGACACGGUCCAGACUCCUACGGGAGGCAGCAGUAGGGAAUCUUCCGCAAUGGGCGAAAGCCUGACGGAGCAACGCCGCGUGAGUGAUGAAGGUCUUCGGAUCGUAAAACUCUGUUAUUAGGGAAGAACAUAUGUGUAAGUAACUGUGCACAUCUUGACGGUACCUAAUCAGAAAGCCACGGCUAACUACGUGCCAGCAGCCGCGGUAAUACGUAGGUGGCAAGCGUUAUCCGGAAUUAUUGGGCGUAAAGCGCGCGUAGGCGGUUUUUUAAGUCUGAUGUGAAAGCCCACGGCUCAACCGUGGAGGGUCAUUGGAAACUGGAAAACUUGAGUGCAGAAGAGGAAAGUGGAAUUCCAUGUGUAGCGGUGAAAUGCGCAGAGAUGUGGAGGAACACCAGUGGCGAAGGCGACUUUCUGGUCUGUAACUGACGCUGAUGUGCGAAAGCGUGGGGAUCAAACAGGAUUAGAUACCCUGGUAGUCCACGCCGUAAACGAUGAGUGCUAAGUGUUAGGGGGUUUCCGCCCCUUAGUGCUGCAGCUAACGCAUUAAGCACUCCGCCUGGGGAGUACGACCGCAAGGUUGAAACUCAAAGGAAUUGACGGGGGCCCGCACAAGCGGUGGAGCAUGUGGUUUAAUUCGAAGCAACGCGAAGAACCUUACCAAAUCUUGACAUCCUUUGACAACUCUAGAGAUAGAGCCUUCCCCUUCGGGGGACAAAGUGACAGGUGGUGCAUGGUUGUCGUCAGCUCGUGUCGUGAGAUGUUGGGUUAAGUCCCGCAACGAGCGCAACCCUUAAGCUUAGUUGCCAUCAUUAAGUUGGGCACUCUAAGUUGACUGCCGGUGACAAACCGGAGGAAGGUGGGGAUGACGUCAAAUCAUCAUGCCCCUUAUGAUUUGGGCUACACACGUGCUACAAUGGACAAUACAAAGGGCAGCGAAACCGCGAGGUCAAGCAAAUCCCAUAAAGUUGUUCUCAGUUCGGAUUGUAGUCUGCAACUCGACUACAUGAAGCUGGAAUCGCUAGUAAUCGUAGUUCAGCAUGCUACGGUGAAUACGUUCCCGGGUCU